rnacentral:rRNA from 1 species
GAUGAACGCUGGCGGCGUGCUUAACACAUGCAAGUCGAACGAAGCACCUCUCCCGAAGAUUGACACAGCUUGCUGUAGAUUGAUUCAUUUGAGGUGACUGAGUGGCGGACGGGUGAGUAACGCGUGGGUAACCUGCCUCAUAGAGGGGGACAACAGUUGGAAACGACUGCUAAUACCGCAUAGUAAGAAGAAUUCGCAUGUUUUCUUCUUGAAAGAUUUAUCGCUAUGAGAUGGACCCGCGUCUGAUUAGCUAGUUGGUAAGGUAACGGCUUACCAAGGCGACGAUCAGUAGCCGGCUUGAGAGAGUGAACGGCCACAUUGGGACUGAGACACGGCCCAAACUCCUACGGGAGGCAGCAGUGGGGAAUAUUGCACAAUGGGGGAAACCCUGAUGCAGCGACGCCGCGUGAGUGAAGAAGUCUUUAGGUAUGUAAAGCUCUAUCAGCAGGGAAGAUAAUGACGGUACCUGAAGAAGAAGCCCCGGCUAACUACGUG